UUGAACGCUGGCGGCAUGCUUUACACAUGCAAGUCGAACGGUAACAGGCCUUCGGGUGCUGACGAGUGGCGAACGGGUGAGUAAUGCAUCGGAACGUGCCCAAUCGUGGGGGAUAACGUAGCGAAAGUUACGCUAAUACCGCAUACGCCCUGAGGGGGAAAGCAGGGGAUCUUCGGACCUUGUGCGAAUGGAGCGGCCGAUGUCAGAUUAGCUAGUUGGUGGGGUAAAGGCCCACCAAGGCGACGAUCUGUAGCGGGUCUGAGAGGAUGAUCCGCCACUCUGGGACUGAGACACGGCCCAGACUCCUACGGGAGGCAGCAGUGGGGAAUUUUGGACAAUGGGCGCAAGCCUGAUCCAGCCAUGCCGCGUGCGGGACGAAGGCCUUCGGGUUGUAAACCGCUUUCAGCCGGAAAGAAAUCGUCACGGUUAAUAACUGUGACUUCUGACGGUACCUGAAGAAGAAGCACCGGCUAACUACGU
rnacentral:rRNA from 1 species